UCAGCUCCUAAGUCACCCACUUGAUUCCUAAAGCUCUUCUCUCCAAAACCCUUUUGCUCUUCUCUUCACCUCUUUCUCUCUCUACCUCUCUCUAGAAAUAUUUUUGUGAAAUGAAUGAAUUGAUUCUUCUAACACAACCCUAGUGUUAUCUCCACUAAUGGGCUUAACUUAGUUUCUAGUGGGCUUAACCCAUUUCUAUUCAAACCAAAAAUAUUACUACACUCCAAACGAUAUUUUAAUUAAUAACGGUAAAAUGUAACCAACGGUCACUAACGGUAAAAACUAAUCACU
rnacentral:lncRNA from 1 species